CUUGCGUUGAUAUCAUGUUGAAACGCCAGUCCUCGUACGAUCACCGAAGUUAAGUAACUUCGAGCCAACGUCAGUACAUAGAUGGGUGACCAUUUGAGAAUACCAGGUGCUGUAAG